rnacentral:rRNA from 1 species
UACGAAGGGUGCAAACGUUGCUCGGAAUUAUUGGGCGUAAAGCGCACGUAGGCGGCUUGGCAAGUCGGAUGUGAAAUCCCUCGGCUCAACCAAGGAAGUGCAUCCGAAACUGCCGAGCUUGAGUACUUAAGAGGAUCGCGGAAUUCCCGGUGUAGAGGUGAAAUUCGUAGAUAUCAGGAAGAACACCCGUGGCGAAGGCGGCUCUCUGGGACGUGACUGACGCUGAGACGCGAAAGCGUGGGGAGCGAACAGG